rnacentral:rRNA from 1 species
CGCUGGCGGCGUGCCUAAUACAUGCAAGUCGAACGGUCUUUCUAUGGAAGCUUGCUUCCACUGAGAAGAUAGUGGCGAACGGGUGAGUAACACGUGGGUAACCUGCCCAUAAGAGGGGGAUAACAUCCGGAAACGGGUGCUAAUACCGCAUAGUUUUCUUGAUCGCAUGAUCGGGAAAGGAAAGACGGCCUUUGUGCUGUCGCUUAUGGAUGGACCCGCGGCGUAUUAGUUAGUUGGUGAGGUAACGGCUCACCAAGACGAUGAUACGUAGCCGACCUGAGAGGGUGAUCGGCCACAUUGGGACUGAGACACGGCCCAAACUCCUACGGGAGGCAGCAGUAGGGAAUCUUCCGCAAUGGACGAAAGUCUGACGGAGCAACGCCGCGUGAGUGAAGAAAGGUUUUCGGAUCGUAAAACUCUGUUGUCAGAGAAGAACAAGUUGGAGAGUAACUGCUCCAGCCUUGACGGUAUCUGACCAGAAAGCCACGGCUAACUACGUGCCAGCAGCGGC